UCGGAGCGUAACUGCUUUCUGAGGGAGAAUCUGACGGUACCUAAGGUAUAAGCACCGGCUAACUGCGUGCCAGCAGCGCGGUAAUACGGAGGGUGCAAGCGUUACUCGAAAUCACGGGCCGUAAGGGGGGCGUAGGCGGAUUAUCAAGUCUCUUGUGAAAUCUAAUGGCUUAACCAUUAAACCUCCUUGGGAAACUGAUAGUCUAGAGUGAGGGAGAGGAAGAUGGAAUGGGUGGUGUAGGGGGUAAAAUCCGUAGAUAUCACCAAGAAAACCCAUUGCGAAGGCGACCUGCUGGAACUCCACCGACGCUUAAGGCGCGAAAGCGUGGGGAGCAAACAGGAUUAGAUACCCUGGUAGUCCACGCCCUAAACGAUGUACACUAGUUGUUGGGGUGCUAGUCAUCUCAGUAAAUCCGCUAACGCAUUAAGUGUACCGCCUGGGGAGUACGGUCGCAAGAUUAAAACUCAAAGGAAUAGACGGGGACCGCACAAGCGGUGGAGCAUGUGGUUUAAUUCGAAGAUACGCGAAGA
rnacentral:rRNA from 1 species